rnacentral:rRNA from 1 species
GGGUUGUGAGGUUAAGCGACUAAGCGUACACGGUGGAUGCCCUGGCAGUCAGAGGCGAUGAAGGGCGUGCUAAUCUGCGAUAAGCGCCGGUAAGGUGAUAUGAACCGUUAUAACCGGCGAUACCCGAAUGGGGAAACCCAGUGUGACUCGUCACACUAUCAUUAACUGAAUCCAUAGGUUAAUGAGGCGAACCGGGGGAACUGAAACAUCUAAGUACCCCGAGGAAAAGAAAUCAACCGAGAUUCCCCCAGUAGCGGCGAGCGAACGGGGAGGAGCCCAGAGCCUGAAUCAGCAUGUGUGUUAGUGGAAGCGUCUGGAAAGGCGCGCGAUACAGGGUGACAGCCCCGUACACAAAAGCGCAUGUGCUGUGAGCUCGAUGAGUAGGGCGGGACACGUGGUAUCCUGUCUGAAUAUGGGGGGACCAUCCUCCAAGGCUAAAUACUCCUGACUGACCGAUAGUGAACCAGUACCGUGAGGGAAAGGCGAAAAGAACCCCGGCGAGGGGAGUGAAAAAGAACCUGAAACCGUGUACGUACAAGCAGUGGGAGCACAGGUUUACCUGUGUGACUGCGUACCUUUUGUAUAAUGGGUCAGCGACUUAUAUUCUGUAGCAAGGUUAACCGAAUAGGGGAGCCGGAGGGAAACCGAGUCUUAAUUGGGCGUUAAGUUGCAGGGUAUAGACCCGAAACCCGGUGAUCUAGCCAUGGGCAGGUUGAAGGUUGGGUAACACUAACUGGAGGACCGAACCGACUAAUGUUGAAAAAUUAGCGGAUGACCUGUGGCUGGGGGUGAAAGGCCAAUCAAACCGGGAGAUAGCUGGUUCUCCCCGAAAGCUAUUUAGGUAGCGCCUCGUGAAUUCAUCUCCGGGGGUAGAGCACUGUUUCGGCUAGGGGGCCAUCCCGGCUUACCAACCCGAUGCAAACUGCGAAUACCGGAGAAUGUUAUCACGGGAGACACACGGCGGGUGCUAACGUCCGUCGUGAAGAGGGAAACAACCCAGACCGCCAGCUAAGGUCCCAAAGUCAUGGUUAAGUGGGAAACGAUGUGGGAAGGCCCAGACAGCCAGGAUGUUGGCUUAGAAGCAGCCAUCAUUUAAAGAAAGCGUAAUAGCUCACUGGUCGAGUCGGCCUGCGCGGAAGAUGUAACGGGGCUAAACCAUGCACCGAAGCUGCGGCAGCGACACUGUGUGUUGUUGGGUAGGGGAGCGUUCUGUAAGCCUGUGAAGGUGGCCUGUGAGGGUUGCUGGAGGUAUCAGAAGUGCGAAUGCUGACAUAAGUAACGAUAAAGCGGGUGAAAAGCCCGCUCGCCGGAAGACCAAGGGUUCCUGUCCAACGUUAAUCGGGGCAGGGUGAGUCGACCCCUAAGGCGAGGCCGAAAGGCGUAGUCGAUGGGAAACAGGUUAAUAUUCCUGUACUUGGUGUUACUGCGAAGGGGGGACGGAGAAGGCUAUGUUGGCCGGGCGACGGUUGUCCCGGUUUAAGCGUGUAGGUGUGUGUUC